rnacentral:rRNA from 1 species
GUAGUGGCGAAUGAAGCGGGAAAAGCUCAAGUUUGAAAUCUGGCGGGCAACCGUCCAGAGUUGUAAGCUGGAGAGGUGUCGUCGGAUGCGGUCCGGGCUCAAUUUCCUUGGAACAGGAGGUCAUGGAGGGUGAGAACCCCGUAUGUGGCUUGGGUGCCGUGGUCCUUGUGACGUAUCCUCUAAGAGUCGGGUUGUUUGGGAAUGCAGCUCAAAAUGGGUGGUAAAUUUCAUCUAAAGCUAAAUAUUGGUGAGAGACCGAUAGCAAACAAGUAGAGUGAUCGAAAGAUGAAAAGUACUUUGAAAAGAGAGUGAAACAGUACGUGAAAUUGUUGAAAGGGAAGCGUUUGGCAUCAGCCCAUGGCGGCGGUCGAACAUCUGGGCUUCUGCCCAGUGCACUCGGCAGUCGCCGGGCCAGCGUCGGUUCCACCUGCUGGAGAAAGGCCUUGGGGAAGUGGCACUCCCUUGUGGAGUGUGUUAUAACCCAUGGC